ACUAUAGUAACUCGAAGGGCAUUGGAGCAAUGAGAACGUGGGAAGAUGUUAAAUUUAGAUCAGAGGAAUCUCAUCAAACAACCAGGGAGGAUCAACCACCAGAGAAAAGAAGAGACUGGGAGUCAUCACCAUGUCCCCAACAGAAUUUUCAUCUAUCCUUCUGAGGACAGCUCCAAGUGAUUACCUAGAGGACUUUGCUUCAUAAUAAGUCAACCUUCAUUCCUGUGCAGCCCCACCUCUCACCUUCCCAAAAUGUCUGCCUCCCAUCUUCUGGGUCCAUUCAUUCUCUCAAAUGAUUUGCUGCCCCUCAAAAGAAUUUUCCACGUUCCUCAUCUCUCCCCUCCCCUGGGAAAAAGCAUAUAUAAGCUUCUAUACCACCCUGGGUUAUUGGGUAAUCAUUCUCCAGCAAUUCUCCCAUCCUGUGCACAUCAAAUAAAUUCUGUAUGCGUUUUCUUUUA